rnacentral:rRNA from 1 species
GUCGUACAGGUCUCCGUAGGUGAACCUGCGGAGGGAUCAUUACACAAAUAUGAAGGCGGGCUGGAACCUCUCGGGGUUACAGCCUUGCUGAAUUAUUCACCCUUGUCUUUUGCGUACUUCUUGUUUCCUUGGUGGGUUCGCCCACCACUAGGACAAACAUAAACCUUUUGUAAUUGCAAUCAGCGUCAGUAACAAAUUAAUAAUUACAACUUUCAACAACGGAUCUCUUGGUUCUGGCAUCGAUGAAGAACGCAGCGAAAUGCGAUAAGUAGUGUGAAUUGCAGAAUUCAGUGAAUCAUCGAAUCUUUGAACGCACAUUGCGCCCUUUGGUAUUCCAAAGGGCAUGCCUGUUCGAGCGUCAUUUGUACCCUCAAGCUUUGCUUGGUGUUGGACGUCUUGUCUCUAGCUUUGCUGGAGACUCGCCUUAAAGUAAUUGGCAGCCGGCCUACUGGUUUCGGAGCGCAGCACAAGUCGCACUCUCUAUCAGCAAAGGUCUAGCAUCCAUUAAGCCUUUUUUUCAACUUUUGACCUCGGAUCAGGUNGGGAUACCCGCUGAACUUAAGCAUA